AUUGAACGCUGGCGGAAUGCUUUACACAUGCAAGUCGAACGGCAGCACGGGGGCAACCCUGGUGGCGAGUGGCGAACGGGUGAGUAAUAUAUCGGAACGUGCCCAGUCGUGGGGGAUAACGUAGCGAAAGUUACGCUAAUACCGCAUACGAUCUACGGAUGAAAGCGGGGGAUCGCAAGACCUCGCGCGAUUGGAGCGGCCGAUAUCAGAUUAGGUAGUUGGUGGGGUAAAGGCUCACCAAGCCAACGAUCUGUAGCUGGUCUGAGAGGACGACCAGCCACACUGGGACUGGGACACGGCCCAGACCCCUACGGGAGGCAGCAGUGGGGAAUUUUGGACAAUGGGCGCAAGCCUGAUCCAGCCAUUCCGCGUGCAGGACGAAGGCCUUCGGGUUGUAAACUGCUUUUGUACGGAACGAAAAAGCCUUGGCUAAUACCCAGGGUCCAUGACGGUACCGUAAGAAUAAGCACCGGCUAACUACGUGCCAGCAGCCGCCGCCG
rnacentral:rRNA from 1 species